rnacentral:rRNA from 1 species
AGUGAACGCUGGCGGUAGGCCUAACACAUGCAAGUCGAACGGCAGCACAGUAAGAGCUUGCUCUUACGGGUGGCGAGUGGCGGACGGGUGAGGAAUACAUCGGAAUCUACUUUUUCGUGGGGGAUAACGUAGGGAAACUUACGCUAAUACCGCAUACGACCUACGGGUGAAAGCAGGGGAUCUUCGGACCUUGCGCGAUUGAAUGAGCCGAUGUCGGAUUAGCUAGUUGGCGGGGUAAAGGCCCACCAAGGCGACGAUCCGUAGCUGGUCUGAGAGGAUGAUCAGCCACACUGGAACUGAGACACGGUCCAGACUCCAACGAGAGGCAGCAGUGGGGAAUAUUGGACAAUGGGCGCAAGCCUGAUCCAGCCAUACCGCGUGGGUGAAGAAGGCCUUCGGGUUGUAAAGACCUUUUGUUGGGAAAGAAAAGCAGCAGGUUAAUACCCCGCUGUUCUGACGGUACCCAAAGAAUAAGCACCGGCUAACUUCGUG